AUACAAAAACAAAACAGAACAAUUCAUCUGGCACUUCCUGAGCUUCUAUUAUGUGCCAGGCAUCUACAUUACAUAUAUGUGCUCAUUAAUCCACAGAGGAACCCUACCAGGUACUUUUAUAGAGGAGCAAACUGAAGCCUAGAGACAUUAAGGAACGUGUUCAAAGCCUCAGCUUAGUGCCUCUCCUGGCUAAGAAAAAACAAUGUCGGUGCAGAGAAGGGUAAUUGUUUUUUUUCCAAUAGCAGGAAUCCAACUCACGACUUUGUGCUUUCCAGGCAGGCGCUGUGCCGCUGAGCUAAAUCCCCAGCCCUGAGAAGGGUAAUUCUGGAUGUAAGAAAAAGCAGCAAAAUAAACCACACUGGGGAAAAUUUUCUAGUUAACAGCUGAGCAGGAGAAACUGCUUGUGCUUUUAAAAUAAUGCACUAGAGGGCGCUACAUACACGAACUGGCAACUGUAUUUUAACCACUGUGGGAACUGCAUUACAAUCAGUAAUGGACUCAAGCCAAAAACGCCCUCCAAGAGUAUGACGCAGUGCAUGAUAAUUGAGAAGCUGUAUUUCUAUCCCCUUAAUUAAAAAAACAAACCCUCAUGUUUUACAUUGGGCAAUUCAUAAUCUGUCUCUGCUUGAUACUGUUUGGUAUUCCAAGGGCCUUUCUUUGCUCUGCUUGCUGAGUGGCAAGGAGAAAGGGUAGGGCAACCUGGAUGAAAAAGAAACCUUUAAGAAUGGCUCUGAGACACUUUUAUUUCAUCUGGUAAAAUUUAUUUUGGCAAAGUAAAACAAGAAUAUGUUUUUUAAAAGCAAGCAAAGAAACCCAUAUCCAAGAGUUUAGAAUGAAAAGGAACAGCUCAUCCUCAACCUCACACAUUCCAGAGGUGACAUCUUUUAGCAUAACUCCAGCUACGUUUUUUGAUUUAUCAAAAUUACAUUAUUUUCCUCUGUGACAACUACGGAAGCAGAAUAUACAUUUAAACAAAGAACAUGAUUUUAAAAAAUAACUUUAUUGUUUUCCAUUAUCGUAUAACAUUUAAAAACAUAAAGAGAAUACAAUUCAUUACCCCAACAGCCAGAGGGAUUACUGUGAUACACAUACAUAUGCAAACACAAAAAUGUAACUUUUUUCUUAGAAAACUGCAUUACCUCCUGCACAUGUUAUUCCACUAUGGAUGGUGAUCACCCUUCCAUAUCACUAUAGUGUGUGUGGUGUUCAGGAUGAAACUGAGGGCCUCAAGCAUGUCAGGCAAGUGGUCUACCACUGAGCCAUACACUAGUUCUCAUUUCAUUUUUGUCUUAAAAUUUUAUUGUGGUGUUAAUUACACAAAGUACAUGCAUCUAGCCAGUUGCGGUGAUACCCAGCUACUUGAAGGUGAAACCAGAGGACCUCAAAUCCGGGGAGGGCCUAUGUAACUUUGCAACACCCUUUGUCAGAAUAAAAAAAUAAAAAGGGCUUGGAAUGUAGCUCAGGGGUAGAGUGCCUCUGGGUUCAAUUCCCCCACUGGGAAAGUAAGUAAAACUUAACCAAAGUGCUCUUCUAAUUUCUUUCAUCACAGAUUGUAUUGAGAUUAUAUUUUAAACUUUAUAUAUACACUUUCCCAUGUCAAUCUCAGAAAGAUGAGUGUUAAAUACUCUAAAAGUACAAGGAAUCUCAAGCUCUUGUACUGCUGUGGGAAUCUGGUAAUUUUACUCCACAAUAUGAAUUGUGGAAACCAAAUUAACAACACAGCCCAGAAGGGAAACGUUCUAAUUAUUCUUCAGUAUCUCAAGACUCAGUGGAUCAUCAAUGAAUCACAAGUUUGAAAUGUGCCAGUUUUUUAUUUGCAGAAGGCAAUUUCUUUUGUAUGUUUAAUGCAUUAUUGCCAUAUGAAUUAUCACAAGCACUGGCAGUUACUACAGUCAUUAGUGCAACUUUAAAAACACUGAUAACAGGAGCUGGAGAUACUGCUCAGUGGCACAGCGCCUGCCUGGCAAAUGCAAGGUCCUGAGUUUGAUUCUUGGUACGAAAGAAACAAACAAAUAAAAAAACCCUAAUAACAAAAAACUCCUAGCUGGGAAGUAUCACAAUCUGCUGCCUUGCAAAAUGCACUCAGAAAGAGGUUAGUCUACCUCUAUUUCUUUUGCUGUGAAAUAAAAACAACACUACCAAAAGUUGGCUUGUCUCUCACCCAAGUACAUUUGAGCACAAAGCCCUGUAAAGUGAGACAAUCGGGAUAAAAGGGGAAAUGUCCUUAGAAACUACCAGCCUGAAAGGCUGUUUGGCAGAUGCCAAGUGCUGUACCCUGAAGAUGUGUUAAAUACCCGCUCUCUGAUUACAGACAAGAGGCCAUUCCUAGUUCUCUCCCAGGGGUGUGGAGACUCAGAACUUUCCAGGUACUUUCCAUACCUAACCCAUCUAGGAACCUUAAGCAAAGGUGCUGGGUAAAUCCCCAUCGCUUUCCCUCUCUUUUCUGUUCCUUGGGUUAAACCCAGGGCGUCCUGCAGCUAAGCCUGGCUCCACCACUGGGCUAGGGGCCCAGUCCCCAUACUUCAGCCUCCCAGUCAGAGACUGUUGUAGGCUGGUGCAGUGAAUUCUGAAGAUUUUGCAGGCAUUAGCUGCACCCCCUGCCGAGUGCUGGGACCUGAACUCAGGGCCUCCGCACUUAGCUAUACGCCCCCUCGACAUUUACAUUUUUAAUAUUUUUCACAAUUUGGAGGCAGUCUGAGUUGCGAAAUUGCUGGCAUUAUAGACAAGUGCCACCAGCCGGGCUGCAUUAUGUCAUCUGACCAAUCAACCUGAUUUAACAGAUGAGAAGACAGAGGUUCGAAAUUUGUUAAUCUGCUAGGAGUGGUGAGGAGUUGGAAUCAAAUGCAGGCCAAUCUUACAACAGGGCUUUUAUUGCUCUUGCCUGCUAACGGAGCACCUUGAAAAUUACAUGGUCACUUCCUGCCAGUGAACAAGACAAUGCACAGACUGCCCACCUGCAGCAGUUUCGGGAAUAGCAGCUGCGCCGGCUCCCCGCAGACCCACUGUUUCAGGGCAGGAAGUUGCAGUGGCACUGAAUUGCUUUUCGGGAGCAAACAGGACGCGGAAAGGAUUAAGAUGAAAGGGCGGUAAGAACCUGAACACAGAGAAGGCUAGUCCUGGGGCCAGGUGGGCGCAGCCCUCGGACCCCCACCGACUGGAUCUGAUCAGUUUAAUUCUGGCCUGGGGGUUCCGCACAAGGCGCUUCCGGCCUCAGGAGACCUGGGUCAAGAUUUACAGGGCUCGGCCCACUGACUGCCAACCUCUUCCGGCACGGCCACUGUCCCCUAGACUGCACCAGGCCUCCAGCACAUAUCUCGCUCUUCUGGAGGGAGCAAAAGUCUGGUCAGCUUGAAAGCGUUCAGGGGUACAAAACCGCAUCCACCAAGUGCAAGCCCCACCGGUUCCCCCAGGGCAGAGCCGCCCGGCUUGGGGUGGUCCUUCAGGGCACCCUGCACACCAGCUGGGUUCAAAGGGGCUGCCUGCUGUUUCUCACUACGGAAACGUCCCUCCCUGUGGCUUUCCACCUCUGGCCACUUUAGUUCAGCAGUUCUCCAAGAUAACUGAGGAAAGAGGUCAUCCCAGCUGGAAGCUGAAGUAACAUUCCUCUUAAACAAGGGGCAGGAAUACCAUUACUUCCAAGCUUCACUACACGUCCACCCUGUCUCAGAAGCUUCAACAGCUUACCAGGGACUCCUAACCGAGUGUACCCACAGCACUCAUUACGUAACAAUCCCCAAACGUUCCGUUCUCAAGGGAGCCUCAGGCUUCAAAGGCCGUCAAGAAUCCCUGCCCAUGGGGGGGCAAUGGAAGCAGCUGGGAACUCACUCAUGUAAAGGUCAUGAAGGUUAUUUUCUGGGAACCAAGGAAGCUUCUUGUCUCUGCCAGUAAGAAUGACUACACUUGAACACAUCCUGGAUUCUCCUCAUUUCCAUUCUUUUUUAAGAUCAUUCCCACCCCCCAAAAAGGAUGAUUUUUCCAGUUAUGGAUGGGUUCACAGGAUGCAACUUGAAAGAAGCCCAUGGCUAACAACUGGAAACUAUUUUAUAACUUGGAACAUCUUUAUACUUUAACUUGAAUAAAGUAAUAAAACUAG